rnacentral:rRNA from 1 species
CCUACGGGAGGCAGCAGUGGGGAAUAUUGGACAAUGGGGGGAACCCUGAUCCAGCCAUGCCGCGUGUGUGAAGAAGGCCCUCGGGAUGUAAAGCACUUUCAGUGAGGAAGAACGCCUGGUGGUUAAUACCCAUCAGGAAAGACAUCACUCACAGAAGAAGCACCGGCUAACUCCGUGCCAGCAGCCGCGGUAAUACGGAGGGUGCGAGCGUUAAUCGGAAUUACUGGGCGUAAAGCGCGCGUAGGUGGCUUGAUAAGCCGGUUGUGAAAGCCCCGGGCUCAACCUGGGAAAGGCAUCCGGAACUGUAAAGCUAGAGUGCAGGAGAGGAAGGUAGAAUUCCCGGUGUAGCGGUGAAAUGCGUAGAGAUCGGGAGGAAUACCAGUGGCGAAGGCGGCCUUCUGGACUGACACUGACACUGAGGUGCGAAAGCGUGGGUAGCAAACAGGAUUAGAUACCCCUGUAGUC